GACGUAGGGCGCGAGCGUUGUUCGGAUUUACUGGGCGUAAAGCGCGUGUAGGCGGCCUUGCAAGUCGGAUGUGAAAGCCCACGGCUCAACCGUGGAAGUGCAUCCGAAACUGCAUAGCUUGAGUCUCGGAGAGGAAGGUGGAAUGCUUGGUGUAGAGGUGAAAUUCGUAGAUAUCAAGCAGAACACCUGCGGCGAAGGCGGCCUUCUGGACGAUGACUGACGCUGAGACGCGAAAGCGUGGGGAGCAAACAGG
rnacentral:rRNA from 1 species